GAUGAACGCUAGCGAUAGGCUUAACACAUGCAAGUCGAGGGGCAGCACAAGGUAGCUUGCUCUCUGGGUGGCGACCGGCGCACGGGUGCGUAACGCGUAUGCAACUUGCCCUAUACAGGAGGAUAACCCGUCGAAAGACGGACUAAUACUGCGUAUGCUCACAACUUGGCAUCAAGUGGUGAGGAAAGAAAUUCGGUAUAGGAUAGGCAUGCGUCCCAUUAGCUUGUUGGUGAGGUAACGGCUCACCAAGGCAACGAUGGGUAGGGGAACUGAGAGGUUUAUCCCCCACACUGGUACUGAGACACGGACCAGACUCCUACGGGAGGCAGCAGUGAGGAAUAGUGGUCAAUGGGCGCGAGCCUGAACCAGCCAAGUCGCGUGAAGGAUGACUGUCUUAUGGAUUGUAAACUUCUUUUAUACGGGAAUAACAAGAGUCACGUGUGACUCCCUGCAUGUACCGUAUGAAUAAGCAUCGGCUAACUCCGUG
rnacentral:rRNA from 1 species